rnacentral:lncRNA from 1 species
AUGCGCAACAGAUGUUCCCAUAACCGUUCUGGCUGCCAUGUUUUGAACCAACUGGAGUUUCUGAACUUGGUACAGAGGUAUCCCAAAAGUACAACAAACUGCAGAAGUCCAGCCUUGAGGUUACCAGUGCAUGCACUACCCUUCUUAAGCCUUCCAAUUCUAGAAACGGAUGCUGCUGAUGUAUCAGUCGAAACUGAUAAGAACCCUGAUGCUGCAAAAGAUGACAAACCUCAGGAUUACAUAGGAUGGAACUAUGACAGUUAAAGUGGUGCCAAAGUGCUAGAAUUCUGCAGCAUGAAUGAGAAUCCUCUAUCUGAUUCUCCCCCCCCCCUUUUUUUCUGUAUAUGUUUGAGUAAGCAACUACAUUGAUUAUACAGGUUUGAUCAACUUAAGUCCUUGUGCAUGGUCUUUUGCAGUGAAAUCAAUACAAGAAAUGCCUUUAAAGGCAUUUAAAAGUUUUUAGUUGGAUGGCAACAUAUGGCAACAUAUGGCAUAUGAACUUCCUUUGUAUGGGGAAAGUAUUAUUUUUAAGAAACCUGAUUGCAGCCUGGAAAUUUAUUUUUGAUCUAUAGCACUGCAAAGCUCUGCAUAUUGAAGAUUAAAUUAACCAUUAAAUUAACACAGGCAGAAGCAAUAUCAUUUUUAUUUGAGAUGGUUACAUCAAAAUUCUUCACUUUUUUCCCAAAAGUUCCCUUUGUGCCUCUAUUGCAGUUGUAGUUCAGCCAAAUUAUUCUAUAAUUCAAAGGCCUUUGCUACCUCCUGUUAAAUAAUUCUUCAAAUUUCAUGUUAAACGAGGAUCUGCCAGGAAAGAAAAAAAAAACCAGAUGAAUAAAAAAUAGAUUCUUGGCUGCUUCAAAUCAGACCAAUUUUAUAUUUGUAACAGAUCUCCCCACUCCAAAACAAAGUACAUUUCUCUUCAUAUCAAUAAAGCUGAGCAGAGAAUAUUUGUAUUUCUUAGUAAAGCUUUCAAUUACCACUUCCCAUCUGUCACAGGAUGCAUUUGAGUUCAGCUAUGGGCUCUGAAUGAUAUAAUUUUCGAGUUUAGAUAUUACAUUGGAAGUAUUCUAGUUUCCCUGGCUAGGGAAGGUACAGGACUGAGGUGGAUAAGACUUCAAACCCAUCCUCAACAGCACUUACAUAGUAGGUGGGGAAGGCUAUUUCAUUAGGUAGAGGAGGAGUGGGUCUUGCAUUUACAAACUUGCCUCCAAGCUAAACAUGUAAUGCAAACAAUGACGAAACAUAGCAAACAUCAUGGAACAUGGAAACCAUGGCUGAUAUGUCUGAGAGUUCAUAAUCAUAUGAACAAACCACGUUUCUCUCUGCAACAGAAAAAGGUUGCUUUUUUGGACUACAAUAAUCCUCCAAUGGCUAGGCUGGUUGGUGAAUUCUGGAAGUUGUAGUCCAAAAGCAAUUUUUCCAGGCACUGUUGCAUAGUGGGACCAAGUUUCUUGCCCUCUUCAUAACAUCCUUGUUAUUCAUUCCACACUGUAGGUCUGAACUGGGAGUAAUAUAAGUUUCUAAAUCAUUGGG